rnacentral:miRNA from 1 species
GUUAUUACACUUGAAGUAACCACUCUAGGGUUUGUGUCGAAAUCUGUCAAUAUCUUUCGACACAAACCCUAGAGUGGUUACUUCAAGUGUAAUAAC